CCUACGGGAGGCAGCAGUGGGGAAUAUUGGACAAUGGGGGGAACCCUGAUCCAGCGACGCCGCGUGAGUGAAGAAGUAUUUCGGUAUGUAAAGCUCUAUCAGCAGGGAAGAAAGAAAUGACGGUACCUGACUAAGAAGCCCCGGCUAACUACGUGCCAGCAGCCGCGGUAAUACGUAGGGGGCAAGCGUUAUCCGGAUUUACUGGGUGUAAAGGGAGCGUAGACGGCGAUGCAAGUCUGAAGUGAAAGGCGGGGGCACAACCCCUGGACUGCUUUGGAAACUGUAUGGCUGGAGUGCAGGAGAGGUAAGAGGAAUUCCUAGUGUAGCGGUGAAAUGCGUAGAUAUUAGGAGGAACACCAGUGGCGAAGGCGGCUUACUGGACUGUAACUGACGUUGAGGCUCGAAAGCGUGGGGAGCAAACAGGAUUAGAUACCCGAGUAGUC
rnacentral:rRNA from 1 species